rnacentral:rRNA from 1 species
GACGUAACGCUGGCGGCGUGCUUAACACAUGCAAGUCGAACGGAGAUAGAAGCUUGCUUCUAUCUUAGUGGCAAACGGGUGAGUAACGCGUGGGUAACSUACCCUAAAGUGGGGGAUAACAGGUCGAAAGGUCUGCUAAUACCGCAUACCCUUCAAGUACGAAAGUAUUUGAAGGAAAGGAGUAAUCCGCUUAAGGAGGGGCCUGCGUCCUAUCAGGUAGUUGGUGAGGUAACGGCUCACCAAGCCUAUGACGGGUAGCUGGUCUGAGAGGACGAUCAGUCACACUGGAACUGAGACACGGUCCAGACUCYUACGGGAGGCAGCAGUGGGGAAUAUUCCGCAAUGGGCGAAAGCSUGACGGAGCGACGCCGCGUGGAUGAUGAAGACCCUAUGGGUCGUAAAAUCCUUUUGUGAGGGAAGAAGAUCUGACGGUACCUCACGAAUAAGCCACGGCUAACUACGUGCCAGCAGCCGCGGUAAAACGUAGGUGGCAAGCGUUGUCCGGAAUUACUGGGCGUAAAGAGUGCGUAGGCUGUUUUGUAAGUCUUAGGUGAAAUCUAUCAGCUCAACUGAUAAACUGCUUAAGAUACUGCAUAACUUGAGGGCAGGAGAGGAGAGUGGAAUUCCAUGUGUAGCGGUGAAAUGCGUAAAUAUCGGGAGGAACACCAGUGGCGAAGGCGACUCUCUGGACUGUCCCUGACGCUGUGGCACGAAAGC